GACGAACGCUGGCGGCGUGCUUAACACAUGCAAGUCGAACGGAAAGGCCCUGCUUUUGUGGGGUGCUCGAGUGGCGAACGGGUGAGUAACACGUGAGUAACCUGCUCUUGACUUUGGGAUAACUUCAGGAAACUGGGGCUAAUACCGGAUAGGAGCUCCUGCUGCAUGGUGGGGGUUGGAAAGUUUCGGCGGUCGGGGAUGGACUCGCGGCUUAUCAGCUUGUUGGUGGGGUAGUGGCUUACCAAGGCUUUGACGGGUAGCCGGCCUGAGAGGGUGGCCGGCGACAUUAGGCCUGAGAUACGGCCCAGACUCCUACGGGAGGCAGCAGUGGGGAAUAUUGCACAGUGGGCGGAAGCCUGAUGCAGCAACGCCGCGUGCGGGAUGACGGCCUUCUGGUUGUAAACCGCUUUCGCCUGUGACGAAGCGUGAGUGACGGUAAUGGGUAAAGAAGCACCGGCUAACUACGUG
rnacentral:rRNA from 1 species